UCGAACGUGGUGUAUGGUGCACGGCCCUGAAUUAUAUAUAUCUUGUCAGACGCGGUACAUUUAUCAGGGCAGGACGGGGUUCGAUUCCCCGCGUUCGAA